rnacentral:lncRNA from 1 species
CCGAGACCUUGGUGGAGGGAGGCCUCCUUCCCUCGCGUGGGGCAGAGGAACCCGGCGGUGCCAGCGCUGGAUGUGACACAGCUGGGGAAGCAGGACGUGGAAGGUCAGAAGAAGGCCCAGAGCUGAGAUUUCUCACCUGCUUUUCAUCUGCUGGGCUCUCGGGAUGCUCCUCUCUCUGUAGCCAUCACACGAAGCCCCGAUGCCUCAGCUGGAGCCAAACCCAGCCUGAAAAGACACGAGCGGUGGAGCGAUGGGUACGGACCGGUGCUGGGGGAGGAGGUGAAGGCCACCUACUUCUUCAAAGGACAUUGUCACAUCUGCUCUGCCAGCAGCUGGACUUUUCACCUGAAAAAGCACACUCCUGCUCCUUGUGCUGUCUCUUUUUCCUUCCAAGAUUUCCAAAGGCUAAGAUUUCACCUUGCAGAAAGGGGCUGUAGCCAGUAUUACCCCUGUGGUAGCCAACUUCAGAAGGUGCAUUUGAACCUGGCAGCCGUUUCCCAGGCCAGAGACGGGGGAUAGAAACGUGUGUGGGGAGGAGAGAAUGCCCCAAAUCCGGUACCUUUUCUUUCUUACCCACCACAGAUCGCUCCAGUCUGGCAAAACCACGUUCUUCCACUGGUCUUGGGCACUUGAGCAAAGGGAUCUCCAAGCAAUGGGACAAUUACCAGUCUCCUGAGCCGGGACAUCGGACCCUUUCGUUGUUUUCCACCUUUUGACCUUAAUUCCAUCUCUCAGCCUGGAACCUCAGCGAAGAACUCGGCGUCCUCUGGGCUGGGAUGUGGUGGAUUGAUGGAAGGAGAGAUGGGGCAGCCCCCGGGGGAAGGGGGACAUCGACGUCAAACGUACAAACCCCCCCUUUUUCCUCCUGCCCUGGUUCAACCCAGAGCUCCUGGGGGCCAGGAGGAAGACUCCAGCUGAUAGAAACUCUGAGGGUCUUAAAAACGAAAACAAAAAGAUAAAAAAACCCCACGUUGUCAGACCUUAAUGGAUAUUUUUCAGCACAUUCCCACUGCCUCUAACUAGUUUGCACUAUUUGAAUUUGUCAGCAGUGGGUCUGUGCUGAUAGUACUAGAAAAGCUCGGUAUAGGCGAAAACUCAUCCGCUAAAUAUCUUUCUUCCUUUUUAUUUUAUUUUAUUUUAUUUUAUUUCUUCUGUUUGUUUGUUUGGAAGAUUGUCGCCACAAAGGUUGAAUAAGGCUAAAAGGAGAGAAAAUUACCUUUCUGAUCUCAGCCUCCGGUUCUGUGAACUGGGCAGAACACUGCUGUCUGCUCAGAAAUAUAUAUAUAUUAUAUAUAUAUAUAUAAUUUUUUUUUUUUUUUAUAAAGAAAAGCUAAUGUUUUAACAAGGUUAAGAUGCUAUUGGAAAGGUGGAGAUGGCAGCUAAAAGUGGAAAUGCAGGAAAAAGGUAUUUAAAAGUCUCCCUUCCUUGCGGUCCCUG